rnacentral:rRNA from 1 species
UACGUAGGGUGCAAGCGUUAAUCGGAAUUACUGGGCGUAAAGCGUGCGCAGGCGGUUUUGUAAGUCUGUCGUGAAAUCCCCGGGCUCAACCUGGGAAUUGCGAUGGAGACUGCAAGGCUAGAAUCUGGCAGAGGGGGGUAGAAUUCCACGUGUGAGCAGUGAAAUGCGUAGAGAUGUGGGAGGAACACCGAUGGCGAAGGCAGCCCCCUGGGUCAAGAUUGACGCUCAUGCACGAAAGCGUGGGGAGCAAACGAGGAUUAGAGUACCCCGGUAGAUCCGAACGACCAAGUUCCCGU